UACGUAGGGGGCAAGCGUUGUCCGGAUUUAUUGGGCGUAAAGAGCUCGUAGGCGGUUGGGCAAGUCACGUGUGAAAUCUCCACGCUCAACGUGGAGGCGCCACGUGAGACUGCCCUGACUCGAGUCCGGUAGGGGAGCGUGGAAUUCCCGGUGUAGCGGUGAAAUGCGCAGAGAUCGGGAGGAACACCCGUAGCGAAGGCGGCGCUCUGGGCCGGUACUGACGC
rnacentral:rRNA from 1 species